UACGUAGGGUGCGAGCGUUGUCCGGAAUUAUUGGGCGUAAAGAGCUUGUAGGCGGUUUGUCGCGUCUGCCGUGAAAAUUCGAGGCUCAACCUCGAACUUGCGGUGGGUACGGGCAGACUAGAGUGUGGUAGGGGAGACUGGAAUUCCUGGUGUAGCGGUGAAAUGCGCAGAUAUCAGGAGGAACACCGAUGGCGAAGGCAGGUCUCUGGGCCUUACCUGACGCUGAGGAGCGAAAGCUGGGGGAGCAAACAGG
rnacentral:rRNA from 1 species